UUAUCCCUAAUUGCUUUUUCCUCUCAAUUUACAGUGCUCAUAGCACUUUGUAUUUUCACUUGCUUCUAUGCAUUAUAAUUACCAUAUAUAGAUUUCAAUGGAAAAUUUUUCAGUUCAAGAUGUAUACCAAGACUAUACUUAGGGUGGGGAGAUUGCAAACAGAAAUAAAGAAGCUAAACUUGUAAGAAUCCAAACACACUAACUUUUUAUUCAAUUUGAUUCAAAAUAAUAAUAUUAAUCUAAUAGUGAAAUAGUGAUAUAACAUCAAUCAACAUUUAGAGUAUUUUAUGUUUCAAAGUAUGGCUCAGGAACACCCAUUGCUAAAUGCACUUAGACAUAACAAGACAGUAUUUUUUAUUGGCAUCAUUGACACCUAUGAACAAUAGCCUAGUAAAUAGAUUAAGGUUUAACCUUCCUUUUCUUUGGUGGCUGUUUAGAGACUUUAAAAGAACAGAUAACUCAUUUCAACAGGAAUCUACUACUGAUAUUUACCUCUACAUAAUCUUUAGCUAAGACUUGGAAUGCCAAAAACAAGCUUUUGUUAGCUUGACCUCCUCCACCUCCUAACAACAAAAGUUAUCCCCAAACCCAUGUUUUUAUUUUAGAUGUAUUGAUCUUCCAAUGUAAGGCUUGGCCUUUUAAAUACUAAUGCAAUCAAUGGCCAACAACCUGACUCCUUCUGGAGACUGAGAAGGAAAGAGAAUGGUGAAAUUUCUUUGAAUUGUGACUUAGUACAAAUUUUAAGAGGUCAGUAAAUCCUGAUGCUAUGAGCUAAAUCUACUGGUAAAUAAUCAAUUACAUUCCUUAGACACUAUAAUCUUUAUCUUGGUAAACAGAGAAAACACAGCUUUGCCAAAUAGAUCUUUCCAUCUAACAUCUUAAAGGUAAUUAUUUAAAUAUUACCACAAACAAGGAUAUAUUUUGUUUAAAUUAGACAAUUAACUGAAGAUAAAAUGCACGUCCAUAGUUUAAAAAGGGGAAAAAAUACAAAUUAACUGGCCUAGUCUUUUAUCUGAGUUUAUUAUACCAUUUAAAAUAUUACAAAUAAAUCAAUUACAUUUCAUGCAUUUAAAAUGCAAAUCUAAAAUGCUCCAGAGAAAGGCUUUUCAUUUCAAUGUGAAAUAUCCAAAUUAUUUCAACAUUACAAUGAGCAAUUAGUUUGCAGAAUCUGCAAACAUUUAAAUGUAGUGUCAGAAGUAUUUAUUAACAGUUAACAAUAUUACCUUCAGGAAAUACACAAAGGCCAAAGUUAGUCGAGUUUCACUUGGACAAUUUAUUUAAUACAUGGGUUUUGGCAGACCACUUAUUAUGAAAUAUAGGAGAACUCUCACUUUAACUAUGCCUGAACUGCCAGCAAAUGCAAAUAAGUACAUGCUCCAUUAAAUUAAAUGUCAUCCAACAUUUAUCAAAUAUUGUCUUAGUUACAGCUUGAUACCUAUCUAAAUUCAUAUUCGAGCAAAACUAGGCCCCGAAAGUGCGUUUGUGGCUCUGCACCUCCAGAAGUGAGUUCAAAAAACCUGCAGCUCAUCAGAACUGCAACAAUAACUCUUAAUAUUUUCUUGUGACAAAAAAAAAAAAUCAAGUUUACUUCAAUAUAUUUUCAAAUAUUUACUGGAAGUAAUGUACAAGAAAAAUACUAUACAAAAUCGUCUCCUGGACAACUGCACCUCACACCCUUACACUGGCGGAGUUAUAUUUAAUUGGUAACUAAUCUAGAACGAUUCUCCAGUUGUACAAACCAUUAGGUUCAGAUAUAUUUUACAAAGGUUCUUUUUUAUUUUCCCUCUUUUGGUAUUUAAACUACAGCCUCGUCUGAAAUAAACGAUAGCUUCUUCACUUGUUUGUAAGUUUAAAUCACACACAAAAAAGUUUAACCCUACGAUCUUCAUGAAUUGAGAGAAUUUACGAAAUUGGUACUAUACAAUUGACGGCCGGACUAACAAAAAAGAUUGGGAGGUUAUGUUUGGGAGUGGUGAAAAAACGAGGUAGAAAAGGACAAACAUGGAGAUAGUUAAUCUGGUCUCACCGGAAAGGAGUAUUUUUGCAUAAGAAAAAAGCACCUACCCUCACCCCCGCCCCCACCCCGUAAGUUAAGUUAAUGCAGUCAAAGUAACUUUGGGAUCAAUAUUAGCAGUUUCGAGAGAAAGAUUGCUCCCCGUUAGAGGAAAAAACUAUUAUAGAAGGGAAACCAAAUGGAAGGUUGCUAUUUUCCCCCUAGUUUUUUUAAAAAUAAAAUAUAUGCUAUAAAGAUGAAAGAAAGCUGCUGCAGCGAUUCGACAAGACUGCCCUUUGCUGAAACUUGCAUCGGUUCCACCUCAGGGAACAAAGAAAAAGAGGCAGACUGACAUUGGGAGAUCUAAACUCUACAAACUCUGGGUCUCGGGCUGCCAAAAGUCACCCCCACCAAGCCCCGACAGCCUGAGUAGGACGUCCGGCGAUGCCCAGGGGCCUGGCAGGGUGCUCCGAAGCCGAGGUGCUCAGUACAGCGGCUCUGGAACCAAGCAGCCGUCUGCCCGGGCGGCGCUGUUCUGCCCAGGCCUCCAGCCUCUCCCUCUCCACCGCUCCGCUCAGGCUUGUCAGCCGAGCCGCUCCUGCCCGCGCGAGGCCCGCUGUCUACCAGGCACUGGAUUAGUCCAGCUCUACCUCCAGUGGCCGUUCCCUCUAAAAGUUACGCCCUUCACAACCUGGGGGGUGGAGGAGGGGAGGACAAGGAAGAGAGAACGAGAAAUAAAGGCCCGACGAGGCGCGGGUUCCGGCUGCAACGGGUUCAGGCAGCGUUACCCGUGGAAAGGGAAAGCCAGGGCCCGGGACAGCGAUGCGUGUUACUUACUUGUCCAUAUCCCCUUUACAAAGUUAAGUCACAGAAGGAAGAAGGAAGAGGGGCAGAAACAGAAAGAGACAGAGAGCGAGUCGGAUGCAAUAGGGAAAGGCUGGAGUUGAAGUCCGGACAGACAGGGCCCCGGACACGCCGAAGCUUGAGAGACUGGAACC
rnacentral:lncRNA from 1 species